CCUCCACCAGUCUGCUAUUCCAUCUCCUCUAACCAGUCUGCUAUUCCAUCUCCACUUACCAGUCUGCUAUUCCAUCUCCUCUAACCAGUCUGCUAUUCCAUCUCCUCUAACCAGUCUGCUAUUCCAUCUCCUCUAUAGUCUCCACUUACCAGUCUGCUAUUCCAUCUCCUCUAUAGUCUCCACCUACCAGUCUGCUAUUCCAUCUCCUCUAUAGUCUCCACUUACCAGUCUGCUAUUCCAUCUCCUCUAACCAGUCUGCUAUUCCAUCUCCUCUAUAGUCUCCACUUACCAGUCUGCUAUUCCAUCUCCUCUAUAGUCUCCACCUACCAGUCUGCUAUUCCAUCUCCUCUAUAGUCUCCACUUACCAGUCUGCUAUUCCAUCUCCUCUAACCAGUCUGCUAUUCCAUCUCCACUUACCAGUCUGCUAUUCCAUCUCCUCUAACCAGUCCGCUAUUCCAUCUCCUCUAACCAGUCUGCUAUUCCAUCUCCUCUAUACCCCCCCUGCUCUCUCUCUCCCCAUGACAACCCUCAACCGGAGUGAUGUCUGCUCUAUUCAUGGUAUUUCUAUCUGGCUACUGAACCAGGCCCCGUUAAGGCACUCUAACGGUGUGUGGAUUUAGCCUGGUCCCAGAUCCGUUUGGGCUGUCUUGUCAACUCCUAUGGUCAUUACCUAGCCUGGUCCCAGAUCUGUUUGUGCUUUUCUUCAUAACCAACUAGAACGGUUAAUGACCAUAGGAGUUGACAAGACAGCCCUAACAGAUCUGGGACCAGGCUAGGUAAUGACAAGACAGCCCAAACAGAUCUGGGACCAGGCUAGGUAAUGACAAGACAGCCCAAACAGAUCUGGGACCAGGCAAUGACAAGACAGCCCAAACAGAUCUAGGACCAGGCUAGUGUUGCUUUGGAAACGCUGUGAUCAUAUUAACUGUGAAGUUAGCCCAUUGUUACGUCCUUAUGUCUGUUUUUACUUGAAGCAAGGAUACAUCCCAAAUGGCACCCUAUUCCCUAUGGGCCCUGUUUAAACAGUGCACUAUAAAGGGAAUGGCUCCCUAUGGGCCCUGUUUAAACAGUGCACUAUAAAGGGAAUGGCUCCCUAUGGGCCCUGUUUAAACAGUGCAUUAUAAAGGGAAUGGCUCCCUAUGGGCCCUGUUUAAACAGUGCAUUAUAAAGGGAAUGGCUCCCUAUGGGCCCUGUUUAAACAGUGCAUUAUAAAGGGAAUGGCUCCCUAUGGGCCCUGUUUAAACAGUGCAUUAUAAAGGGAAUUGCUCCCUAUGGGCCCUGUUUAAACAGUGCACUAUAAAGGGAAUGGCUCCCUAUGGGCCCUGUUUAAACAGUGCACUAUAAAGGGAAUGGCUCCCUAUGGGCCCUGUUUAAACAGUGCACUAUAAAGGGAAUGGCUCCCUAUGGGCCCUGUUUAAACAGUGCACUAUAAAGGGAAUGGCUCCCUAUGGGCCCUGUUUAAACAGUGCAUUAUAAAGGGAAUGGCUCCCUAUGGGCCCUGUUUAAACAGUGCACUAUAAAGGGAAGCGGGUGCCAUUUGAGAUGGAACCCAAGACGACGUGUAAAGUUGAAGCAUGAUCUGAUUAGUGUGAACUAAGUAUAAAGCUCUUUGUGAUUGUAUUUCCUCAUUAGAAGUGCAUUUUUUAAUAUAAACUUUGUUUUUCCCCCAUCUCGAAGAAUGUGAUGUUUUCAGUGGCAUUAAGUUUGUUAUAAAUGGGACAAAUAUACAAGGACCAUGAACUUUACAGAUCUUAUCAAGUGAAUUACUAUAUGCAGUAAAAAAAAUAUAAAAAAAAGUAGUUUUAAAAGAAAUGAUGGAACAUAGUUUGAAGCACCUUGUCCAGUGUAGGGAAAUGUUCUGUGUGUGUGUAGAAGACGGGUGUAUUCAUUCCGCUGAUUCUGUUGCAAAACGUUUCGACCUACCUGAAUUUGUCCAAUAGAAACUGUUUGUUUUUCCCCGUCCAUUUCAAUUCAGGCAGUAAAAUGAAAUGUCAAUCCCAAACCUGGCAGAAUUACAGCCAUGUCUUUGUGUGUAGCGAUUUAAAAAGGAAAGAUUCACUCAUUUUUGAUUGUUCUUGUGCAUCUCUGAACGAUGUUCGUAUCGGAGUUAGGAGAAAUACAGCUGGUAUGACAAGUUGAGUCACAACAUCGCAAGUCAAAAUGGGUGAAUCUUUCCUUUGUUUUAUAUGGGACAAACAUACAAGGACUGUGAAUUAUUACUACCUGCAUUAGUCCCUGAGUGUAACUAUUGUUCUUAUGCAGUGGUUUCAGAAUUGCCUUGAGUCUUUUGAAAUAAACAUGGACUUUGUUCACUCAGUGUGAGAUUAGAA
ensembl:lncRNA